UGCCAAAGACGUAACGGCCUAAAUUGGCCA
rnacentral:sRNA from 1 species